rnacentral:tmRNA from 1 species
GCGGACUGGACCCGGGUGCGAUUCCCGGCGGCUCCACCAAUCUUCCCCCGGAGUUAUCGCCGGAAAGUGCGGGGCCGAUCAGCAUCGACAGACGUGUAAAGGUGUUGCUUUCUCUCGGCGUGGCUCACCGUUUCGGGCCUUUAAACUAAAUGCGAACGAUAACUUCGCUGAAGAAGUCCGUCUGGCCGCGUAAGCGGUUCGAUAGAUUUCGACAUAAACUCCUAGCGUCUUAGCAGCGUUAGGCGGGGCUCGGAGGGGGCCUUGCAACAGAACCCCUCCACU